rnacentral:sRNA from 1 species
CUUGUCCUAUGUUGCCAGCGGUUCGGCCGGGGACUCAUAGGAGACUGCCGGGGUCAACUCGGAGGAAGGUGGGGAUGACGUCAAGUCAUCAUGCCCCUUACGUCCUGGGCUGCACACAUGCUACAAUGGCCGGUACAAUGGGCUGCGAUACCGCGAGGUGGAGCGAAUCCCAAAAAGCCGGUCUCAGUUCGGAUCGGGGUCUGCAACUCGACCCCGUGAAGUCGGAGUCGCUAGUAAUCGCAGAUCAGCAUUGCUGCGGUGAAUACGUUCCCGGGCCUUGUACACACCGCCCGUCACGUCAUGAAAGUCGGUAACACCCGAAGCCGGUGGCCCAACCCUUGUGGAGGGAGCCGUCGAAGGUGGGACCGGCGAUUAGGACGAAGUCGUAACAAGGUAGCCGUACCGGAAGGUGCGGCUGGAUCACCUCCUUUCUAAGGAGCGCAUGCCGUUUCCGGAUGUUCAUGCCGGACGGUUGCUCACUGGCGUGGAAUGCUGACUUCGAGAUGCUGUCUGCUCUGGGUGGCUGGUGACUAGUACUCAUUGUCUCUGCGGUUCGGCGUGGAGGUGGGGGUGGAACGGGCGGGUCGUCUGGUGGGGGGUGUCGUGUGGUGCGCUGUUGGGUCCUGAGGGAGCGGAAAGCUUUCUUCGGUGGCCGUCCACCC